CUAUAUUAGCAAGCAGGAUACAAAAUUCAGGAACUGUAUAGGAGCUGCGGAACGGCUGCAGCUGACAUUGCGAUAUCUAUCCACUGGUGAAACCCAAAGGUCACUUCAAUUGCCGUUCCGAAUUCAGCAGUCAACCAUUUCCAGAAUUUUAAAGGAAUCAAUUCCCGCAAUAUAUUUGGCGUUAAGGGAGGAGUAUUUGAAAUUCCCUGCAAGUGAGCAAGAUUGGCGUGAUAUUGCAAAAGACUUUUAUCAGAUGUGGGGAUUCCCGAACUGCAUCGGCGCUUUAGAUGGAAAGCAUUGCAGAAUACUGCCAGUGAGGAAAGCAGGAUCUACGUAUUUCAAUUACAAAGGAUACCAUUCAUUUGUAUUGAUGGCAAUCGCUGAUGCCCACUAUCGUUUUAUUUAUGCUGAUGUCGGUGUUAAUGGGAGAGUGGGUGAUGCUGGAAUUUGGUUGAACUCGGACCUGAAAUACGCUAUUGAAAAAAAUAAGUACAUAUACCAGCCCCAUGCACGCUCCCUUUCAUGUCAACUCCCUCGCCUUUUGUGCUUUUAGCCGAUGAUGCCUUUGCUCUAAAAGACUACGUAAUGAAACCUUACUCUCAUCUAAGACUAUCACCAAGCGAACUUAAAUACAACAACAUACUUUCGAGGAACAGGCGCGUUGUUGAAAAUGCUUUUGGCAUUCUUGCGAACCGUUUUCGAGUUUUAUUUUCACCCAUCCAUCGCGCUCCAGCUGCAGCCAUUCAGAUUGUAUUAUCUUGCGUAUGUGUGCACAACUUU